UACGUAGGUGGCAAGCGUUGUCCGGAAUUAUUGGGCGUAAAGCGCGCGCAGGCGGCUUCCUAAGUCCAUCUUAAAAGUGCGGGGCUUAACCCCGUGAUGGGAUGGAAACUGGGAGGCUGGAGUAUCGGAGAGGAAAGUGGAAUUCCUAGUGUAGCGGUGAAAUGCGUAGAGAUUAGGAAGAACACCGGUGGCGAAGGCGACUUUCUGGACGACAACUGACGCUGAGGCGCGAAAGCGUGGGGAGCAAACAGG
rnacentral:rRNA from 1 species